GGGUUCGAGUUGGAGCACGCCUGUCGGGACCCGAAAGAUGGUGAACUAUGCCUGAGCGGGGCGAAGCCAGAGGAAACUCUGGUGGAGGCGGGAAGCGAUACUGACGUGCAAAUCGUUCGUCUGACUUGGGUAUAGGGGCGAAAGACUAAUCGAACCAUCUAGUAGCUGGUUCCCUCCGAAGUUUCCCUCAGGAUAGCUGGAGCCCAUUACGAGUUCUAUCAGG
rnacentral:ncRNA from 1 species